rnacentral:rRNA from 1 species
GAUGAACGCUGGCGGCGUGCCUAAUACAUGCAAGUCGAGCGGACGGACGUGAAGCUUGCGUCUCUGAUGUUAGCGGCGGGCGGGAGAGUAACACGUGGAUAACCUCCCUAUAAGACUGGGAUAACUUCUGGAAACCGGAGCUAAUACCGGAUAAUAUUUUGAACCGCAGGGUUCAAAAGUGAAAGACGGGCUUGCUGUCACUGCUAGAGGGAUCCGCGGUGCAUAAGAUAGUUGGUAAGGUAACGGCUUACCAAGGCAACGGUGCAUAGCCGACCUGAGAGAUUGUUAGUCGACGCUGGGAGUGAAAGACGGGCCAGACUCCUACGGGAGGCCGCAGUAGGGAACUACGGGAGAUGGGAGUAAGCCAGACGGAGCAACGCGGCGUGGGUGGUGAAGGUCUUCGGGUCGGGAAAUUGUGUGAUUAGGGAUGAACAUCUUUUUAAGCAAGUGAGCAAGCAUUGACGGUACCUAAGCAGAAAGCAACGGCUAACUACGUG